rnacentral:rRNA from 1 species
GAUGAACGCUAGCGAUAGGCUUAACACAUGCAAGUCGAGGGGCAGCAUGGUCUUAGCUUGCUAAGACUGAUGGCGACCGGCGCACGGGUGCGUAACGCGUAUGCAACUUGCCUCACAGAGGGGGAUAACCCGUCGAAAGACGGACUAAUACCGCGUACACUCCAUCUUGGGCAUCCAAGGUAGAGGAAAUGAAAUUCGCUGUGAGAUAGGCAUGCGUCCCAUUAGCUAGUUGGUGAGGUAACGGCUCACCAAGGCGACGAUGGGUAGGGGAACUGAGAGGUUGAACCCCCACACUGGUACUGAGACACGGACCAGACUCCUACGGGAGGCAGCAGUGAGGAAUACUGGUCAAUGGGCGAGAGCCUGAACCAGCCAAGUCGCGUGAAGGAUGACUGUCUUAUGGAUUGUAAACUUCUUUUAUACGGGAAUAACAAGAGUCACGUGUGACUCCCUGCAUGUACCGUAUGAAUAAGCAUCGGCUAACUCCGUG